UUUUAUGAGAGUUUGAUCCUGGCUCAGGACGAACGCUGGCGGCGUGCCUAAUACAUGCAAGUCGAACGCUUCUUUUUCCACCGGAGCUUGCUCCACCGGAAAAAGAGGAGUGGCGAACGGGUGAGUAACACGUGGGUAACCUGCCCAUCAGAAGGGGAUAACACUUGGAAACAGGUGCUAAUACCGUAUAACAAUCAAAACCGCAUGGUUUUGAUUUGAAAGGCGCUUUCGGGUGUCGCUGAUGGAUGGACCCGCGGUGCAUUAGCUAGUUGGUGAGGUAACGGCUCACCAAGGCCACGAU
rnacentral:rRNA from 1 species